CUGCCAGUCACCGCAGCAGCCCCAGGCACCGGCUACUCCUGCCUCGCCCCCUCUCACAACUGCUGCGUGAAUCAAAAGCGAUGGGUGGAGCCAGUACUGACACCAGGUUGAUGAUGUUCGUCUCUUCCCAGCUGUUUCCAGCCAUGUCGUCAUGUUGGUAGCUUGAAAUCAGAGAGCUGGUUAUUAAACAUUUACCAGGACAUCAUUGGAUCUCACGUACCUAGAACUGAAAAGCACACAAACACACGUCAUCAUCAUCAACAAUAACAACCGCAACAAUACACCUAACAAGCAUCAGAGAGGUCAGGAGCUGGGAGGAAGGAUUCAAUUUUCGGCAGCUCUGCUCUGUCCCUGCAGCCUCCUUGUGUCCCAGCUCAGCCUUGGUCUGCAGCCACCCGUGUGUACUGUGUGACAGACAGCUGCUCCCGCCCAGCUCCCCACCCCCAUCCCCUGCCUGGCCUCGCCACCAUCGGCAGAAACUGAGCCUGACGCCUCUGGCUGCAAACUCAACAUCAGACCAGGACUGCUCGGCAGAGGCUCUCCCAAGGGACAGAUAAAAAGGCAGGCAGAAAAGAAAAUUCGCUACUAUGUCAGCCGACGAGAAAUAAAGCUUACUUACAGUAUG